AGUGAACGCUGGCGGUAGGCCUAACACAUGCAAGUCGAACGGCAGCACAGUAAGAGCUUGCUCUUACGGGUGGCGAGUGGCGGACGGGUGAGGAAUACAUCGGAAUCUACUUUUUCGUGGGGGAUAACGUAGGGAAACUAACGCUAAUACCGCAUACGACCUACGGGUGAAAGCAGGGGAUCUUCGGACCUUGCGCGAUUGAAUGAGCGGAUGUCGGAUUAGCUAGUUGGCGGGGUAAAGGCCCACCAAGGCGACGAUCCGUAGCUGGUCUGAGAGGAUGAUCAGCCACACUGGAACUGAGACACGGUCCAGACUCCUACGGGAGGCAGCAGUGGGGAAUAUUGGACAAUGGGCGCAAGCCUGAUCCAGCCAUACCGCGUGGGUGAAGAAGGCCUUCGGGUUGUAAAGCCCUUUUGUUGGGAAAGAAAAGCAGCAGGUUAAUACCCCGCUGUUCUGACGGUACCCAAAGAAUAAGCACCGGCUAACUUCGUG
rnacentral:rRNA from 1 species